rnacentral:rRNA from 1 species
AACGAACGCUGGCGGCAUGCCUAACACAUGCAAGUCGAACGAGACCUUCGGGUCUAGUGGCGCACGGGUGCGUAACGCGUGGGAACCUGCCUUUAGGUCCGGAAUAACUCAGAGAAAUUUGAGCUAAUACCGGAUAAUGUCUUCGGACCAAAGAUUUAUCGCCUUUAGAUGGGCCCGCGUUGGAUUAGCUAGUUGGUGGGGUAAAGGCCUACCAAGGCGACGAUCCAUAGCUGGUCUGAGAGGAUGAUCAGCCACACUGGGACUGAGACACGGCCCAGACUCCUACGGGAGGCAGCAGUGGGGAAUAUUGGACAAUGGGCGAAAGCCUGAUCCAGCAAUGCCGCGUGAGUGAUGAAGGCCUUAGGGUUGUAAAGCUCUUUUACCCGAGAUGAUAAUGACAGUAUCGGGGGAAUAAGCACCGGCUAACUCCGUGCCAGCCGCCGCAGUAA